rnacentral:pre_miRNA from 1 species
GCAAUACUCCCUCCGUUCGAAAUUACUUGUCGUAGAAAUGAAUGUAUCUAGAUGUAUUUUAGUUUUAGAUACAUCCAUUUUCGAGACAAGUAAUUCCGAAUGGAGGGAGUAGUUA